CAAUAGCAUAUAUUAAAGUUGUUGCAGUUAAAAAGCUCGUAGUUGGAUUUCUGGCAUGAUGCGCCUGGCCCGCCUCGAUUACGAGUGUGUGUGCGAGCGCGCGUCUGCCAUCCAUUUGCAGAAUGUAUCUACCCUUCAUUGGGCCGGAUAUGUGAUGUAAAUCUUUUACUUUGAAAAAUUAGAGUGUUUAAAGCAGGCAUUUGCUAUGAAUACAUUAGCAUGGAAUAAUAAUCUAGGACUUCGGUUCUAUUUUGUUGGUUUCUAGGACCGAAGUAAUGAUUAAUAGGGACAGUUGGGGGCGAUUCAUAUUCCAAUGUCAGAGGUGAAAUUCUCGGAUUAUCGGAAGAUGAACUUCUGCGAAAGCAUCUGCCAAGGAUGUUUUCUAUUG
rnacentral:rRNA from 1 species